rnacentral:rRNA from 1 species
CCCAGACAGCCAGGAUGUUGGCUUAGAAGCAGCCAUCAUUUAAAGAAAGCGUAAUAGCUCACUGGUCGAGUCGGCCUGCGCGGAAGAUGUAACGGGGCUAAACCAUGCACCGAAGCUGCGGCAGCGACACUAUGUGUUGUUGGGUAGGGGAGCGUUCUGUAAGCCUGUGAAGGUGGCCUGUGAGGGUUGCUGGAGGUAUCAGAAGUGCGAAUGCUGACAUAAGUAACGAUAAAGCGGGUGAAAAGCCCGCUCGCCGGAAGACCAAGGGUUCCUGUCCAACGUUAAUCGGGGCAGGGUGAGUCGACCCCUAAGGCGAGGCCGAAAGGCGUAGUCGAUGGGAAACGGGUUAAUAUUCCCGUACUUGGUGUUACUGCGAAGGGGGGACGGAGAAGGCUAUGUUGGCCGGGCGACGGUUGUCCCGGUUUAAGCGUGUAGGUGUGUGUUCCAGGUAAAUCCGGUUCACUUUAACACUGAGGCGUGA